GUAGCAACUGAGACUAGCAGAAAGGAGGAAGAAAACUGCCUUAUCUCCACGGUGAAGUCCUCAUCAUUUGUAUCGUCUUCCUCCUCCGUCUCCAUGUGAUGAUACUUCUCUGACCGAGCUGCGGAGGAAGGUUUGGGAACAGUCUUUGUUACUCAGAGAGUUUCUGUAUUUAACAGUGACCACUACACUAUGAGGCCCUGGAGCAGAACAACAGGGAGCUUUCUAGAAUUUGUAGUUGGGGAAUAAAUUCCGCCUUCUGUCUCAGCAAACUGUUCCAGUCUAAGGAGCGGAAGAAACGAUGCUGCUUCACUUCAUAGGCUCCACCUGGACGGGGAGAGGAGCGAGGCUGAGAGGCUGAACCACCCUCUGUACAGUAAGCACCACGCUUACAAACAGUUCACGAUAUUUGUUAGCAGAGAAAUGAAGAAGUGGUGGAGUUCACACUACCCCCCGCCCCCACCUUCUACAACCAAAACUUGAAAAAAAAAAUCCUAGACUUUAUCAGCAGGAAAUCUGAUUUUGCUAACAGCGGUUGCUAUAGCACAGAUUUUCUCAGUUAAUUUUUCUACGACUUCUUCCAUUUUUCAAAGGUUAAUGACAGGGCCACUUAAAAUCACAUUAUACUGAACCUGGGGACAUGGACGCAUGUUGGCCCAAAAGCAGACUUGCUCAUUACAAACCCUGAAGAUCCUAACAAGGUGCAAAACGUGCUUACAGCAAGAUUUCUUCUGGAGGGAAGGUUAAUAAUGAUGGAUUUUU
rnacentral:lncRNA from 1 species